rnacentral:rRNA from 1 species
UACGUAGGGUGCAAGCGUUAAUCGGAAUUACUGGGCGUAAAGCGUGCGCAGGCGGUGAUGUAAGACAGAUGUGAAAUCCCCGGGCUCAACCUGGGACCUGCAUUUGUGACUGCAUCGCUAGAGUACGGUAGAGGGGGAUGGAAUUCCGCGUGUAGCAGUGAAAUGCGUAGAUAUGCGGAGGAACACCGAUGGCGAAGGCAGCCCCUUGGACCUGUACUGACGCUCAUGCACGAAAGCGUGGGGAGCAAACAGG